rnacentral:lncRNA from 1 species
ACAUCUCUAGCUCACCUCUCUAGUGUUGUUCUUGUAUUCAUCCGAUUAAUCUAGUUCUUGCUAGUUCUUCUUGAACUUCUUCUUAGAUCUCAAGUCUGUAUUCUGUAUCCGUAACAGUUUGUCGAGACUUCACUCACCUUAGAUAUCAGAGCUAUUUUCUUCCUCAUUAGAGUGUGAAUUAUCCCUCUGCUAGGAAGUGUACUAGCAUUUUAGAGGUUGCGGAUUACCCUCUUCUAAACUGAUACUUCUUUUGUUACAAUAUUGAAGUCUUAUUCUUCUUGGAGAGAGUGGAUUACCCCUUUUCUUGAAGCUCUUAAGGCAUUUUAGAGGUUGUGGAGUACCCUCCUCUAAACCAAUAUUGUCUUUUUGUAGAGUUACUUUUUUUCCUUCUCUUAGAAUGGCCGGAGGCCAAGACAUUAGUAUGAUGGAAAGUUUGGAGUCCAAGUUGGAUGCUAUCAUGAAUGCCCUCAUGUCACGGACACAAAAUACAGACUUGAAAUCUAACAAGAAGUUUAAGAAGAAGUGGCAGAACUAGAUUAAACAGAUGAGUACAAGAACAACACCAGAAAGGUGAGC